rnacentral:rRNA from 1 species
CCUACGGGGUGCAGCAGUCGAGACUCAUUCACAAUGGGGGAAACCCUGAUGGUGCGACGCCGCGUGGGGGAAUGAAGGUCUUCGGAUUGUACACCCCUGUCAUGUGGGAGCAAAUUAAAAAGAUAGUACCACAAGAGGAAGAGACGGCUAACUCUGUGCCAGCAGCCGCGGUAAUACAGAGGUCUCAAGCGUUGUUCGGAAUCACUGGGCGUAAAGCGUGCGUAGGCUGUUUCGUAAGUCGUGUGUGAAAGGCGCGGGCUCAACCCGCGGACGGCACAUGAUACUGCGAGACUAGAGUAAUGGAGGGGGAACCGGAAUUCUCGGUGUAGAAGGGAAAUGCGUAGAUAUCGAGAGGAACACUCGUGGCGAAGGCGGGUUCCUGGACAUUAACUGACGCUGAGGCACGAAGGCCAGGGGAGCGAAAGGGAUUAGAUACCCGGGUAGUC